rnacentral:rRNA from 1 species
AUCGGAAUGGGUGCAAUCUAAACCCUUGCACGAGUAUCUAUGAGAGGGCAAGUCUGGUGCCAGCAGCCGCGGUAAUUCCAGCUCUCAGAAUGCAUAGAACCAUUGCUGCGGUUAAAAAGCUCGUAGUUGGAUUUGGGCGCGGGCCUCGGACCUCGCUUCGGYGUUGCUCUGGGUGUCCCGUGCUUCAUGCCGGUUGGUCCCUUGGCUUUAGGGUCUUGGGGCGGCUGGCGAGUUUACUUUGAACAAAUCAGAGUGCUCAAGACAGGCUCAACGCCUGAAUGCUCGUGCAUGGAAUAAUAGARGAGGAUCUCGGUCCGAUUUUGUUGGUUUUGCGGCCGAGGUAAUGAUCAAUAGGGGCGGACGGGGGCAUUCGUACUUCUGCGUGAGAGGUGAAAUUUUUGGACCGCAGGAAGACGCACUACAGCGAAGGCAGUUGCCAAGCACGUCCCCGUUAAUCAAGGACGAAAGUUAGAGGUUCGAAGGCGAUCAGAUACCGCCCUAGUUCUGACCGUAAACGAUGCCAACUAGCGAUCCGCCGGCGGAUUUCUCGCCCUGGUGGGGAGCUUCCCGGAAACGAAAGUCUUCCGGUUCCGGGGGAAGUAUGGUUGCAAAGCUGAAACUUAAAGGAAUUGACGGAAGGGCACCACCAGGAGUGGAGCCUGCGGCUUAAUUUGACUCAACACGGGGAAACUCACCCGGGCCGGACACCGCGAGGAUUGACAGAUCGAGAGCUCUUUCUUGAUUCGGUGGAUGGUGGUGCAUGGCCGUUCUUAGUUCGUGGAGCGAUUUGUCUGGUUUAUUCCGAUAACGAGCGAGACUCUAGCCUGCUAAAUAGUGGAGCCAUUGCCUUGUGGCCGCCGCUUCUUAGAGGGAUUGGCGGCUCCCAGCCGCACGAAACUGAGCAAUAACAGGUCUGUGAUGCCCUUAGAUGUCCGGGGCUGCACGCGCGCUACACUGGCGAAGGCAGCGUGCCUGUCCUGCCGCGAAGGCGGUGGGUAAACCAUUGAAAAUUCGCCGUGAUUGGGAUCGGAGAUUGCAAUUAUUCUCCGUGAACGAGGAAUUCCAAGUAAGUGCGAGUCAUCAGCUCGCGUUGAUUACGUCCCUGCCCUUUGUACACACCGCCCGUCGCUGCCCGGGACUGAGCCAUUUCGAGAAAUUUGGGGAUCGGCGGACGGCGCCCGCAAGGGCGCCCCCGCUGCCAACCAACUUAAUCGCAGUGGCUUGAACCGGGCAAAAGUCGUAACAA